CGAGCGGCGGACGGGUGAGUAAUGCCUAGGAAAUUGCCCUGAUGUGGGGGAUAACCAUUGGAAACGAUGGCUAAUACCGCAUGAUGCCUACGGGCCAAAGAGGGGGACCUUCGGGCCUCUCGCGUCAGGAUAUGCCUAGGUGGGAUUAGCUAGUUGGUGAGGUAAGGGCUCACCAAGGCGACGAUCCCUAGCUGGUCUGAGAGGAUGAUCAGC
rnacentral:rRNA from 1 species